CCUACGGGUGGCAGCAGUGAGGAAUAUUGGUCAAUGGACGCAAGUCUGAACCAGCCAAGCCGCGUGAAGGACGACGGUUCUAUGAAUUGUAAACUUCUUUUGUACGGGGGUAAAUUCCGGUACGUGAACCGGGUCGAAAGUACUUUACGAAUAAGGAUCGGCUAACUCCGUGCCAGCAGCCGCGGUAAUACGGAGGAUUCAAGCGUUAUCCGGAUUUAUUGGGUUUAAAGGGUGCGUAGGCGGUUUGUUAAGUUAGAGGUGAAAUCCCGGGGUGAAACCCGGCCGAGCAGGUGAAACUGGCGGUCUAGAGAUGAGGAGAGGUAGGCGGAAUGCAUGGUGUAGCGGUGAAAUGCUUAGAGAU
rnacentral:rRNA from 1 species